AGAGUUUGAUCCUGGCUCAGGAUGAACGCUAGCGGCAGGCUUAACACAUGCAAGUCGAGGGGUAACAGGAUCUUCGGAUCGCUGACGACCGGCGCACGGGUGCGUAACGCGUAUGCAACCUACCUUUAACUGGAGGAUAGCCCCGAGAAAUCGGGAUUAAUACUCCAUAGUAUUCCCAAGUGGCAUCACUCUGGAAUUAAAGCUCCGGCGGUUAAAGGUGGGCAUGCGUGACAUUAGUUUGUUGGUGAGGUAACGGCUCACCAAGACUACGAUGUCUAGGGGUUCUGAGAGGAUGAUCCCCCACACUGGUACUGAGACACGGACCAGACUCCUACGGGAGGCAGCAGUGAGGAAUAUUGGUCAAUGGACGCAAGUCUGAACCAGCCAUGCCGCGUGCAGGAUGACGGCCCUAUGGGUUGUGAACUGCUUUUAUUAAGGAAUAAACCCCCGAACGUGUUCGGGGCUGAACGUACUUAAAGAAUAAGCAUCGGCUAACUCCGUGCCAGCAGCCGCGGUAAUACGGAGGAUGCAAGCGUUAUCCGGAUUCAUUGGGUUUAAAGGGUUCGCAGGCGGCGUAUUAAGUCAGUGGUGAAAUCCCUCGGCUCAACCGAGGAACUGCCAUUGAUACUGGUAUGCUAGAGUAUAGUUGGCGUAGGCGGAAUGUAUCAUGUAGCGGUGAAAUGCUUAGAUAUGAUACAGAACACCGAUCGCGAAGGCAGCUUACGAAACUAUAACUGACGCUCAGGAACGAAAGCGUGGGGAGCGAACAGGAUUAGAUACCCUGGUAGUCCACGCUGUAAACGAUGAUUACUCGUUGUCGGCGAUACACAGUCGGUGGCUAAGCGAAAGUGAUAAGUAAUCCACCUGGGGAGUACGAUCGCAAGGUUGAAACUCAAAGGAAUUGACGGGGGCCCGCACAAGCGGAGGAGCAUGUGGUUUAAUUCGAUGAUACGCGAGGAACCUUACCUGGGCUUAAAUGUAGAUUGCAUGAAGGGGAAACCUUUCUUUUCUUCGGAACUAUUUACAAGGUGCUGCAUGGUUGUCGUCAGCUCGUGCCGUGAGGUGUCGGGUUAAGUCCCAUAACGAGCGCAACCCCUACCUUUAGUUGCCAUCAGGUAAUGCUGGGGACUCUAAAGGAACUGCCUACGCAAGUAGUGAGGAAGGUGGGGAUGACGUCAAAUCAGCACGGCCCUUACGUCCAGGGCUA
rnacentral:rRNA from 1 species